GCAGUGGCGCGAUCUCGGCUCACUGGAAGCUCCGCCUCCCUGGUUCACGCCGUUCUCCUGCCUCAGCCUCCAGAGUAGCUGGGACUGCAGGCGCCCGCCACCGCGCCCGGCGAAGUUUUUUGGUUUUUUUUUUUUUGUAUCUUUAGUAGAGACGGAGUUUCACCGUGGACUUGAUCUCCUGAGCUCUCGACCCGCCUGCCUCGGCCCCCAAAGUGCUGGGAUUACAGGCAUGAGCCACCGCGCCCGGCCGCUAAUGUCAUUCUUAAACAGGGCUCUCCAACCUCCAGAUCACAGGCCAGUACCAGUCCACGAUCUGCUAGGAACUGGGCAGCACAGCAGGAGGUGCUCUCCUCAGACGUGUUACUGGAACAAUAGAAAGGACUCUGAUUAUGGAAAAUAUGCUCUUACUCAUUCUCUGUGAACUGAGCCUGUUCAACAUUGGAAG